UUAAAGGAUGAUCGUCAAUUCUAAGAAAUAUCCGUAUUUGUAUAACUACUUUUUUGUAUCAAAUGAUUAAUGGUGUAGAGAUAGGCGGAUCUAGGGGGGUCCUGGGAGCCCGCCCCCCCCCCUUUUCGUGGGAAAAAUUUGGUUGAUUAUGUAGGGAAUCAUUGAAGCAUGACUGGAGCGCCCCCUUAGGAAACGUUCUGGAUCCGCCACUGGUAGAUAUAAAACGUAUUUAUAUGAGAGUAUUAUCCUAUAGGUAGGAGAAAAUAAGACGUGCUUUAAAUACAAAGUUCACCAUAUAUAUCUUUUUUUUACGGUAGAGGUAUAAUUUUUAAAAUGAACAUACAACAAGACAUGCGCAUGAAAAAGUGGGGAAAACAUGCAACAAAAGCGCGAUUAAAUGACACCUUACAAGUAUAAUAAAAAAAAA
rnacentral:lncRNA from 1 species